rnacentral:rRNA from 1 species
AUGGCCAUUUCCCCCCUCGUCCUCAGCGGGGCCGCCGUCGCCACGCUCGCCGUCCUCGGCCUCGCCGUCUACGCCUGCCGCCGCUGGCGCCGGGGCGCGCCCCCCGCCGCGCUCCCGCCCUCCGCCUCCUCCCAGGGCGAAGAUAUCAACAGGCCUCUAAUAUCAGACAAGUUGGAUGACUACUCGGGCCCAAGCAAUAACCUUGGUAGCAAUAAUGCUGGUGAGUCUACAAUGUGGACAAAUAGGAGUACCACUUCACCAAGGACGCAUACUCAUCCCACUGAAUCUCAUCCUAUUGAAGGAGAAGUUCAUGUGAUUGAUGUUACAAAUGGUACACCGGAAGAGCUCCAUCUGGGAAGUACGCUGAAGCGUACAGCAGAAGCAAGUGUGCGAGCAUCUGAGGCAAAGCACACAAGAAGGGCCUCUGGAGAGAAUAAUAACGGCGGCAUUCCUGUGAAGGAUAUCACAGUUGGAAGCCACCUAGCCUUGGAGGUCAUAGCUGGCCCAUCUCAUGGAAUAAACCGCUACCUGCAGUCAGGUAAUACGUCCAUGCUCCCAAUGACUCUUGGAAGGAUUCCUCAAAGCGAUUUGGUGUUAAAGGAUUCUGAGGUGUCAGGAAAGCAUGCACGGAUUGACUGGAACCCAAAUACACUCAGAUGGGAACUUGUGGAUAUGGGCAGUUUGAAUGGAACCUUCUUGAAUUCCCGGGCAGUUACCCAUCCUGAUGUUGGUUCUAGGCGUUGGAGUGCGCCUGCCGAACUUGCUGAUGGUGAUAUUAUAACACUUGGGAGUUCAUCAAAAGUGUCUGUUCAAAUUUCACUACAAAAUCAACAAGUGCCAGUAGGAGUUGGUAUGGUAUCUGAUGCAAUGAUAACCCGCCGAACUGGAAAGAAACUUCCCAUGGAGGAUGUCAGCUGCUACCAGUAUCCUCUUGCUGGUGCUCAACAGUUUGGGCUGUUUGCCAUUUUUGAUGGCCAUGGAGGGGAUGGGGCUGCAAAAGCUGCCAGCAGGAUACUUCCAGAGAAUGUUGCGAAAAUUCUUUCUCAGAAGGGAACAAUAGAAAGAGUUCUCACAUGCGGCAAUGCUUCUGAUGUUCUUAAGUGUGCAUUUGACUUGACGGAAGCUGCACUCAAUCAUCAGUAUGAGGGUUGUACAGCAACUGCCCUUCUUAUUUGGUUUGAUCAGAACAAAGAUUGCUUUGCCCAGUGCGCUAAUCUAGGUGACUCGGCAUGUAUUAUGAAUGUCGACGGGAAACCAAUUGCGAUGACAGAGGAUCAUCGAGUAGUCAGUACAACAGAACGAGCGAGGAUAGCGAAAUUAGGGAAUCCCCUGAAAGAUGGCGAAAGCCGUAUAUGUGGACUGAAUCUUUGCAGGAUGCUUGGAGACAAGUUUCUCAAAGAGCAAGAUCCAAGGUUCAGUAAAGAACCAUAUGUGAGCCCAGUAGUUCAGAUCUCGAAAUCGUGCUCAGCUUUUGCGCUUAUCGCUAGCGAUGGCCUAUGGGAUGUCAUUACCGCGAAAAAGGCAGCACAGCUUGUCCUCGAUUAUAAGGAGAGGAACAUGGGCCAAGAAAUCUCAGCGGACGGAGUAGCAGACCAUGUGCUUAGUGAAGCCAGGAAUCUGCGGACGAAGGACAACACAUCGGUGAUAUUCUUAGACUUCGACGCCAUGAGGAUGGGUCGCUGA